rnacentral:tRNA from 2 species
ACUUUUAAAGGAAAACA